rnacentral:lncRNA from 1 species
AUAGUAUUCUCUGAUGGUAGUUUGUAUUUCUGUGGGGUCAGUGGUGAUAUCCCCUUUAUCAUUUUUUAUUGUGUCUAUUUGAUUCUUCUCUCUUUUCUUUUUUUUUUUUUUGAUUAUUAAUGUUUAUUAUAAUCCUACUAUCAAUCUGCCUCCUAACUCCAGCCUCAACAGGCUUUAAAUCCAAAGGCUUAAAUACAUUUGCCAACAUGUCAAAAAGAACCUUUAAUACUUCUUUUGAUUGCCACUUAUGCUUUCUUGCCAGAUGCCUUUGGAGCAGGUGCUUUCUGGGCUGGAGCUUUUUGACCCUUCUGAGCUUUGGGAGCAGGCGCAUCCUUCUGGCUUAUGGCUUUCUGGGCAGGAACCUUCUGGGCUGGAGCCCUUUUACUCACGGUGGUCAUCUUUUUGGCUGGAACUUUAGCAGCAGUAGCAGCAGUACCCUUAGUACCAGGUGCUUUUUUGGGAGAAGCUUUCAGGAGAGCUGCCUUUUGAAGCUUCUUAACUUCAUUCUUGAUUAUUCUGUUCCUCAUUUUCUUUGCCUUCAUAAUUUUAAAACGAUCAAAAUCUGUCAUCUUGGCUUUCCUUUCUCUGGCUUCAAUCUUCUUGGCCCAUCAUGUGACUGCCCAUUUUGUAUUGAUGUCUGCCUUCUGCCAGGCUUGUCGGACUUACUUCUGGCGGGCACUGUGUGGAAAUUUGAGGGUGAAAUCAGUGAGCUGCAUGCACUUGAAAGGCAUGGUCUGUCUCCUCACUUGAGUGCAAGGUCCAUCGACCAAAGCCCUGUUCUGAUCAAUAAUAUCUACAAUCACGACCAAUUUUCCGGCAUGAGGUCCAAAGGAGACGUAGGCCACCCGGCCAACCUCCAUGAAGUGCCUGAACACCAUGUUGGCGGCGUUAGGCAAGAAGGCUCUUUUCUUCUUUAUUAGUCUUGCUAGUGGUCGAUCAAUUUUGUUGAUCUUUUCAAAAAACUAGCUCCUGGAUUCAUUGAUUUUUUUGGAGGGUUUUUUGUGUCUCUAUCUCCUUCAGUUCUGCUCUGAUCUUAGUUAUUUCUUGCCUUCUGCUAGCUUUUGAAUGUGUUUGCUCUUGCUUCUCUAGUUCCUUUAAUUGUGAUAUUAGGGUGUCAAUUUUAGAUCUUUCCUGCUUUUUCUAAGCCAAAAGAACAAAGUUGGAGGCAUCAUGCGA